CCCGCCCCCAGAGGCCUUGCAGGUGUGGCUGCUGUUUCACGUGUGCAUCAGUAGGUGGCAGAGUGGAGGGCAGUUACGUCUACGCUCAAAGUUCUGACCUGUGAACAUCUGAAUGUUGUGUAGCCUAACAUU
ensembl:snoRNA Gm25076 predicted gene, 25076